CGCAACUUGCGCCCUCUGGUAUUCCGGAGGGCAUGCCUGUUUGAGUGUCAUGAAACCUCAAUCCCCCAGGGUUCUGCUCUGUUGGGUGCAUUGGAUUUGGGCGCUGCCGGCCUGGCCGGCUCGCCUUAAAGGCGUUAGUGGGAUCAGCAGACCCGAUCGGCGUAAUAAGUUUCGCUGAGGAGGUUUGCGCGAGCCCGCUCACAACCCUCUCCUUUGGAGAACACUCUUUUGAUCUGACCUCAAAUCAGGUAGGACUACCCGCUGAACUUAA
rnacentral:misc_RNA from 1 species